rnacentral:rRNA from 1 species
GCUCGUGUCGUGAGAUGUUGGGUUAAGUCCCGCAACGAGCGCAACCCCUACGUUUAGUUGCUGACAGGUGAAGCUGAGCACUCUAGACGAACUGCCGUUGACAAAACGGAGGAAGGUGGGAUGACGUCAAAUCAUCAUGCCCCUUAUGUUCUGGGCUACACACGUGCUACAAUGGCCGGUACAGACGGAGGCGAAGCCGCGAGGCGGAGCAAAUCCGAAAAAGCCGGUCUCAGUUCGGAUUGCAGGCUGCAAUUCGCCUGCAUGAAGUCGGAAUCGCUAGUAAUCGCAGGUCAGCAUACUGCGGUGAAUACGUUCCCGGGCCUU